UACGGAGGGUGCGAGCGUUGUCCGGAAUUAUUGGGCGUAAAGGGCUCGUAGGCGGUCUGUCGCGUCGGUAGUGAAAACUCAGGGCUUAACCCUGAGCCUGCUUCCGAUACGGGCAGACUAGAGGUAUGCAGGGGAGAAUGGAAUUCCUGGUGUAGCGGUGAAAUGCGCAGAUAUCAGGAGGAACACCGAUGGCGAAGGCAGGUCUCUGGGCCACUACUGACGCUGAGAAGCGAAAGCGUGGGGAGCGAACAGG
rnacentral:rRNA from 1 species